UACGUAGGGUGCGAGCGUUUAAUCGGAAUUACUGGGCGUAAAGCGUGCGCAGGCGGCGCGUUAAGACAGGUGUGAAAGCCCCCGAGCUUAACUUGGGAAUUGCGCUUGUGACUGGCGUGCUGGAGUGUGGCAGAGGGGAGGUGGAAUUCCACGUGUAGCAGUGAAAUGCGUAGAGAUGUGGAGGAACACCGAUGGCGAAGGCAGCCUCCUGGGCCAGCACUGACGCUCAUGCACGAAAGCGUGGGGAGCAAACAGG
rnacentral:rRNA from 1 species